rnacentral:piRNA from 1 species
UUUUUUUCCAAUAUCUGUGAUCGG